rnacentral:tRNA from 1 species
UUCUCGUUAGUAUAGGUGGUUAGUAUACCCCCCUCUUUCACCGGGGUGACCCGGGUUCAAUUCCCGGACGGGAAG